GGCGGACGGGUGAGUAACACGUGGGCAACCUGCCUAUAAGACUGGGAUAACUUCGGGAAACCGGAGCUAAUACCGGAUACGUUCUUUUCUCGCAUGAGAGAAGAUGGAAAGACGGUUUACGCUGUCACUUAUAGAUGGGCCCGCGGCGCAUUAGCUAGUUGGUGAGGUAAUGGCUCACCAAGGCGACRAUGCGUAGCCRACCUGAGAGGGUGAUCGGCCACACUGGGACUGAGACACGGCCCARACUCCUACGGGAGGCAGCAGUAGGGAAUCUUCCGCAAUGGACAAAGUCUGACGGAGCAACGCCGCGUGAACGAAGAAGGCCUUCGGGUCGUAAAGUUCUGUUGUUAGGGAAGAACAAGUACCARAGUAACUGCUGGUACCUUGACGGUACCUAACCARAAAGCCACGGCUAACUACGUGCCAGCAGCCGCGGUAAUACGUAGGUGGCAAGCGUUGUCCGGAAUUAUUGGGCGUAAAGCGCGCGCAGGUGGUUCCUUAAGUCUGAUGUGAAAGCCCACGGCUCAACCGUGGAGGGUCAUUGGAAACUGGGGAACUUGAGUGCAGAAGAGGAAAGUGGAAUUCCAAGUGUAGCGGUGAAAUGCGUAGAGAUUUGGAGGAACACCAGUGGCGAAGGCGACUUUCUGGUCUGUAACUGACACUGAGGCGCGAAAGCGUGGGGAGCAAACAGGAUUAGAUACCCUGGUAGUCCACGCCGUAAACGAUGAGUGCUAAGUGUUAGAGGGUUUCCGCCCUUUAGUGCUGCAGCUAACGCAUUAAGCACUCCGCCUGGGGAGUACGGCCGCAAGGCUGAAACUCAAAGGAAUUGACGGGGGCCCGCACAAGCGGUGGAGCAUGUGGUUUAAUUC
rnacentral:rRNA from 1 species